rnacentral:lncRNA from 1 species
AAUAAGCAAAGAGUCAACUAUAACAUGUACCCCUAAUUGUGAAUCGACUAAUAAAGACUUCCUUAGUUGUUUCAUCCUUUGUCAUCUCCCACUACUCUAAGAUUCUUUUCUUCUCAAGUCUACCUGGCAACAUUCUUUUUUAUGGAGGCAACACAUCAAGAUAUAGGGUAAUGUCCCACUUGUUGUGGUUGAUAGGAUAUAUAAUUGAUGAGUAAAUUUCUUUAUAAGUUGACUUCCGGAAGCAAUAAGGUAUGAAGUCUUCUCCAUCCAUAUUUAGA